rnacentral:rRNA from 1 species
AACGCGUGGGAACCUGCCCUUAGGUUCGGAAUAACUCAGAGAAAUUUGAGCUAAUACCGGAUAAUGUCUUCGGACCAAAGAUUUAUCGCCUUUGGAUGGGCCCGCGUAGGAUUAGGUAGUUGGUGGGGUAAAGGCCUACCAAGCCGACGAUCCUUAGCUGGUCUGAGAGGAUGAUCAGCCACACUGGGACUGAGACACGGCCCAGACUCCUACGGGAGGCAGCAGUGGGGAAUAUUGGACAAUGGGCGAAAGCCUGAUCCAGCAAUGCCGCGUGAGUGAUGAAGGCCUUAGGGUUGUAAAGCUCUUUUACCAGGGAUGAUAAUGACAGUACCUGGAGAAUAAGCUCCGGCUAACUCCGUGCCAGCAGCCGCGGUAAUACGGAGGGAGCUAGCGUUGUUCGGAAUUACUGGGCGUAAAGCGCGCGUAGGCGGCUUUUUAAGUCAGGGGUGAAAUCCCGGGGCUCAACCUCGGAACUGCCCUUGAAACUGGAGAGCUAGAAUCCUGGAGAGGCGAGUGGAAUUCCGAGUGUAGAGGUGAAAUUCGUAGAUAUUCGGAAG